CCUACGGGAGGCUGCAGUGAGGAAUAUUGGUCAAUGGGCGCGAGCCUGAACCAGCCAAGUCGCGUGAGGGAAGACGGUCCUAUGGAUUGUAAACCUCUUUUGUCGGGGAGCAAAAGACGCCACGCGUGGCGUUCCGAGAGUACCCUAAGGAAAAGCAUCGGCUAACUCCGUGCCAGCAGCCGCGGUAAUACGGAGGAUGCGAGCGUUAUCCGGAUUUAUUGGGGUUAAAGGGUGCGCAGGCGGAAGAGCAAGUCAGCGGUAAAAUUGAGGGGCUCAACCUCUUCGAGCCGUUGAAACUGGUGUUCUGGAGUGAGUGAGAAGUAUGCGGAAUGCGUGGUGUAGCGGUGAAAUGCAUAGAUAUCACGCAGAACUCCGAUUGCGAAGGCAGCAUACCGGCGCGCAACUGACGCUCAUGCACGAAAGUGUGGGUAUCGAACAGGAUUAGAUACCCUUGUAGUC
rnacentral:rRNA from 1 species